rnacentral:tRNA from 1 species
ACUUGGCUGGCUCAGUCAGAAGAGCUUGGGACUCGUGAUCUCAGUGACAUGAGUUUGAGCCCCAUGUUGGGUG